GGUGGCUUGGUGGUAGAGUGCUUGCCUAGCAUGCAUGAAGCCCUGGGUUCGAUUCCCCAGUACCA
rnacentral:tRNA from 1 species